rnacentral:rRNA from 1 species
UUUUAUGGAGAGUUUGAUCCUGGCUCAGGACGAACGCUGGCGGCGUGCCUAAUACAUGCAAGUCGAGCGAACAUCAAAGGAGCUUGCUCCUUUGAUGUUAGCGGCGGACGGGUGAGUAACACGUGGGCAACCUACCUUAUAGUUUGGGAUAACUCCGGGAAACCGGGGCUAAUACCGAAUAAUCUAUUUCACCUCAUGGUGAAAUAUUGAAAGACGGUUUCGGCUGUCGCUAUAGGAUGGGCCCGCGGCGCAUUAGCUAGUUGGUGAGGUAACGGCUCACCAAGGCGACGAUGCGUAGCCGACCUGAGAGGGUGAUCGGCCACACUGGGACUGAGACACGGCCCAGACUCCUACGGGAGGCAGCAGUAGGGAAUCUUCCACAAUGGGCGAAAGCCUGAUGGAGCAACGCCGCGUGAGUGAAGAAGGAUUUCGGUUCGUAAAACUCUGUUGUAAGGGAAGAACAAGUACAGUAGUAACUGGCUGUACCUUGACGGUACCUUAUUAGAAAGCCACGGCUAACUACGUGCCAGCAGCCGCGGUAAUACGUAGGUGGCAAGCGUUGUCCGGAAUUAUUGGGCGUAAAGCGCGCGCAGGUGGUUUCUUAAGUCUGAUGUGAAAGCCCACGGCUCAACCGUGGAGGGUCAUUGGAAACUGGGAGACUUGAGUGCAGAAGAGGA